GCCUGUGUGGCAUAAAGGUUUUUGUGUUGGACUAUGACUCUGGAGACCAGGGUUCGAUUCCCCACUUGGCUA